GUGCUCACUUCAGCAGCACAUAUACUAAAAUUGGAACAAUACAAAGAUUAGCAUGGUCCUUGAACAAGGAUGACAUGCAAAUUCAUGAAGUAUUCCAUAUUAAA